UAAUUUAUCCAGGCCUGCACUACAGAUUUUGAGUGAAAUUCCCUUACCACAACUGUGGCAUCUCGUCAGAACAGCUCAGACCAUGGCUUAACCAACAAUCAAUUUAAUUAAUGUCAACCAGAUCAGAAUUAGGUCUACGCUCCAGAUUUUAAACUUGCUUUCUACAAUACCCCCAACUACCGUGUCUACUGCAGCAACUCUGUUAGAUCAGCUUAGCUCACCCCGGCCUAACACUUACAGACAAUCAAGAAUUCAAGCUCAUCUCAACUUAGUACAGAUCAGAACAAGCCUGAUGCCCACUCAUAUGAACCGCUGUGGAGUCCCUGCUACCAGCCCCAAUCACACUGACCCAUGGCCCCGACGACUAGACUGCUGCAGCUCCGGAUGUCAGAUCAGGGGCCCGUUUCAUAAAGAGUUGCAACAAGUAUCAUUGCCAUUAUGGCAACGACCGUGAUGACAAGACUCAACAGCCAAUCGUAAUAAAGAUUUCCAUGGUAGCUGUAGUUACAAUAAUGGCAAUGUCAAGAUAGUUGUAAGUCUUUUUGAAACGGACCCGGAUCGUCGGCUCAGCUCACCUGCAAAGCUCGGACGGGUAGCAACCAGACCGAUCGGAACAAGUCGAGGGAUCAAAAGUGGUGAUGUAACAGCAAGGAUGUUGCAGAGAAUGACCUCAGAAUCUUUGUGAAGAAAUGAUAGAAUGCAAGCAGAGACUGAGAUUUCUAUCCAUGAGAGCAAAACCGUAAAGGGUUCGUCUGGCAGAAGUGGACUAACAGGAAGCAAUGAAUGUGGAGUUAGAUUACAAAGAAGUCUUUGUAAUGAUGGAGGAUAAACUCACCAAACUCGGGUCAGACAUCAAGAUAAUGCCCAGAAAUAAGACACCAGAAGCAGUGCUUUAGCCAUUAUAACAAGGGAGAGAAUGCAGGCUAGAAGAGGGAUGAAGGGAUACUGACCUCCUUGUCAUCUUGCCAAACAUAAAGGACCUAUCAACCUUUCAACAGAGGCUGAGGAGACCAUGAAGGCUGUGUGAGCACUGGUUGAACGUACAUUCAUGUCACCCAGUGUAAACAGGGAUACACCCCCUAUCUGGUGUCAACCAUCUUCCAAGCAUAAAUGAGAGAGAGUCUACCAGAGGCAUGGACAUGCCACCAAUCUUCAAGUCUUCAUCUACCAGGGAUGUCUGAUGUAACUGGUCUUUUGCCUGAAGUAUGAUCAACAUAAGAUAGGAUUUGGCACCAAACAAUUCCAUAUUCAUCCUCCAUCUUGUGUUAAUAUUGUUCCUCGUAUUCAUGAUGGAGAAAGUUUACAGGGAUUUGCUCUUGACACCAGUCAUUAUCUACACUCUUUGUCUGGUGUUAGCCUUAGCCCUACUUUAACUGGGCCUUUUCAGAUCAAUUUUUUUACUGGUAUACAGUGUAGAUGAUGUUUGAUGUUAUGUGUUCGGCUAUGUGGAAUAUUACUCCAAUGACUGUCUAGAAUAUGCUCAAGCCUCAAUAAGGGGGGGGGGUAUAUCUGACUUUAUGAUGACUUUUGUGUAGCUCCACGGAGCAGGUCCAAGCUAUUGUUUCUUUGCUGAUAGUUGUAGUAGUUGAAAUAAUUUACAACUUUAUCUUGAUGAAGUUUGUAUUUGUUAAUAUUGUGCUGACUUUUCUGCAAAAGUGGAUCCAAAGGUUUUCCAGAGUUUUUCCUUAUGAGUUUUAUCUCUGGUUUUUUACCCUGGAUCUACGUGUCGUAGAACUAGUCAGGGGGGGGGGGAUGGGGGUGGGGUGUUUUAGGGUAAAUAAGACAAAAUUGCAAAAAGAUUUGCAACAACAUCUCCCAACUAUGAAGUCUUGCUCAUCUUUUGAGAACAAAUUUUGUACCUGGAUAUGUAGGUCCAAAGUUUUUUUUUACAUUUUGUAUUAAGGCAUGCAAGAUGCAAAAUUGGUGGUCAAAGCAUGAUUUUUGUAUGUACAAAUUUUGUACAAAUCAAUUGCAAAUCCUGUUUCUUGCCAAAAUUUAUCAAUGUAAAUAGAUUAAUUUUAUGUGGAAAAAAACCUCAAAACAAGUCGAAAAACAAAGGUCUAAGGUCACAAAGAUACACAAAUGUACAUAUAUACAUUCAAAUAUCUCAUUGUUGAGAUAAUUGAAAAACUGUAUUCGAGAUCGACUGCGAAUUCAGUUGAUAAUGUACCUUUAUUGGAAAGGCAAUGAUCUUACUAGAUUUUGGGGUCUGGAGGUCUAAGUUCAUAGAGGUCACGGUAUACCGUAAAGUAUCUUUUCUCAUGAUAUCAAACCUUUUUAAGGAUUUCACUUUAAACUUUACUUGAGUACAUGUAUGCAAACAUGUAUGGAAGGGACAAUGAUCUGAAUAGAUAUUAGGGUCAUGAGGUUCAAAGGUCACAUGGUUCAUUAUAAACAGUAAUAUCUUGUUCUUGCAAUAACUAUAAUUGUUGGGGUCUUGAGAACAAAGUACAGAGAUCAUUUUAUACAUUGUUCUUGCUUUCCAACGAACUGUUUGAGAGAAAUUUGCCAAUCAAUGAAUCAAAGACUCAUGUAUGUAUCUAUGAGAGGAUUAUCUUUAUCAGAUUUUAGGGUCAUAAGGUCAGGGGUCAAAGGUUACAGAUGUUAGUAUUUCAAAAUAUUAAAAGUUAUGCAUGUAAUAUACAUAUAUUCUACAUCUGGUAAUAGCAGAGACAUAAAGUUUGACUGUCUGCAGUCGAGAAUCCCUUCUGUUUCUGUCAAAUUUUGCAUAGUCCCACUAAUAUACAUUUACAAUGUAUGGUUCCAGUCAUGUGUUCCAGUUCAGGGUUUUUCCCCCCUUAUUAUAGUGUUUGGAUAGCGCUUUGAUAAAUUUCAGAUGACUUUGAUUUAAUACAAAGCUUAUGAAAUUAGCAAAGCAAGUCUGGGAAGUGUUUCACAAAUAGUUAAACCUGACUAAAAGUCAUGCUUACACCUGUAAGUAUUAAUAUGCACAUGAUAAUUAGCAGUCUCAUUGAUUAAUGCAUGUAUGCAGUAGAGCGUAUCCUCUGAUUCUGAUCCAACCAAUAUGAUGAUCUGUUAUUUUCCACAUACAAGUGGAAAUUUAAGAGCAAUUGUUGUUCACAUUUAAAUCUUUGUGAAACACCUCUUUGAUUUGUCUCUUACAUCAUAUGUUCUAGGGACAGUGAUAUUCUGUUUACUGGUAAUUCAAAAACUAAAUCUGUUUUGGUUCUUUACUUUUCAUGUAAAAAUUCAUUGAAUUUACUACUGAAAAAUGUAAUUCACAUAUUUGCUCUGUACAUUUCUAUAACAAAAUGGAAUUUCCAUUUUAGACCAAGUUUAAAACAGAGUUACAGGUUUCCAGAAACAGAAAAUACUUUUUUUUUUUAACUGAAAAGCACUGUCCCUAAUGUCAUGUCAGAUAGCUUGGACCUGCCCUUUAUAUGUAAUGUACAAUUGUCUGUACUAUAAACUUGCUUUGUAUUCAAAAACUUAUUUUUCUUUCUUGAAAAUAAAAUGUAAGACCAGCGGCCAAGGAGAUUCAUUCAAGUGAGAGGACCAGAGCAGUUGACCUCAUUGAUUGAUGGUGGUAGGCCCUGAACCUCACAAACAUGGCUUCCAGUCUGGUUUGAGCUGGGAUCUUCCUGACGGAAUCACACAAUUAGUGACGUCACUACCAAGAGAACUAUUUUGCAGUGUACAGAGAAGGGCACUGGACACUGUUGUGCAUGGUAUAAAGCUUCCAUAAUGUAAGUGCUGUAUUUCUGAUUUCAAUGAUAUUUUGUGUAGCCUACAGUAUGUGAGACAAUGCAAUUGGUUUUCCAGCAAUUAGUACUGAGGGCACUAAUUGGUUUGGAAAUAUUGGGCAGCAAUUUUACCCAUUUGGGGCUUUUUAUCCAUGUUUUGCCACAGUUGCAUUUUUUUAAUUCAUGACAUUCAAUUUAAUCUUUGGAAUGAUAUCCUUUUCAUGAAAAUCUAUCAAAACAUUAACAUUCCCAAAUGAAAUUUUGAAAAAUUUAUAGGGAUUUCAAAAAACUCUUCUACAAUACAAUACUUCUGUUGAUCUGUUGAUCCAUUGAUUGCCGUCUUUCUUUAUAUACCUUUCUGUACUAUCUGCGCUAGCUGCUGCUCUAAAUUCAUCUUCGUUUCACACUGUUGCACCAGUUUAUCUGCCAUGACUGAUAUGAUAAUGUGCUAGUAAGACAAAUAAAAUAAUUCAAAAGGAAAUUUGAAUAUAUUUACAGACUUUGAUCUCAUUUAAAAUAAUUAAUUGCAGAGCCAUGAUAGAGCAGUGAGAAUAUUUUGCAAUAAAUAUAUUCCUUAUUUCUGUACAUAUUAAUUUUUCGGACAGAUUAAUUUGAGUUACUUUUUAAAAAGUGUUUGGUCCUAUUCCCUUUUCACCAUGAACCUAAAUGUUUGGGAAAAUGCCGAGUGUGUAUCCAUCAUGUAAACACAUAAUGCGAGAGAUUUAGCCAGACCUGUGUUGGAUGACAAUGAUAUUGUGAUGAAGGUGGCUUCUCAAUAUUGGUUAGUCUGCCAAAAACUAAAAAAGAAAAACACCUUUUAUCCUCAACUUUGGAUAAAGAGUUCAACCCAUAUUUAUGAGGAUUGUGUGCUUCAAUGUUUUUUCCACAAUGUGUAAAGAAAAAAAUAUUCCUUCAAUCACUGCAAUACAAGUUCGUAUGGAAUCUAGUUGUAGAAGUGCAUUGUCAAAGUUUGAUUUCCAUCUUUUCAGCAAGUGCUAUUUGCUUGUUCACUGUGGUCCUAGUUGACCUGGUUGACCUCCUGUUUCAUAUUUGGCCUUUUGUACGUUUGUCAAAUUUAUUUGACGAAGCAGUUUAGCCUGGACGGCUUUUGGGGCUUAGUGGCAGUGAUCAAGGUCGAUCAAGAACCAGUUUGCACUCCAAAGAAGAGAAGAGAUGAACUGUUGAUGUAUGUUUGAAGAGAGCGCUGCUGACUUCCGGAGUAAUGUUUCAAUUGCAUGUGGCAUUUUUGUAUGUGGUUUUUGAAAAUCUGGCAAUGUUGUGAUAAUGCUCAGGUACUCUCUGACGAAGAGGGAUAGUUUUCUUUUCAACGCAGGUGUUGGUGUCCAGUGGUCUUCAAAACAUCAUGCAGGUUGUUAGAAAUAUGAAAUGGUGAUAUCUUGUGAAGGGUCUGUGCCUUUGAUUGUUGUACUAAUACGUGGUGUGUUACAGGUGGGUCUGAAUGAUAGUGAUCAUGGUAUCAUUUGGUAGACAUUACAGCACUCUGAUCUGCAUGGCUCUUGCUAUCUAAGCUUACUACCAUCUGGAAUUCCUCCACGUUUCAGUUUGUGGGUGGGGCAGUGAUCCCCCAAGAUUGUCAACCUUCUGAAUUCUCCAUUUUCCAUUCUUUCCAUGUUAUUCAAUCUAUUGUCUGGUAGUUUUUCCUCGGUACAUAUAAAGUCAUUUCCUGUGUGAAUGAGAAUUGCAUUUAGGUUUGCUGUAUUCAGGAAGGCAUAUGAUGGAACUUGGCCUAUCUUGGUUUGUUUGACCAGGUCGCUUUUCAGAUCACACCAUCUCUCCUGUGCAUUGACAACUUUGUCCGGUCCAAACCAGAGCUGCUUUUCGGACAAACCUGAAAAAUUGGUUCAAGUCAGGCUUUACCUACUGUGGUCAUAGAGGAUUUGUGACAUGGCAUACAGGAAGGAGCCAGGGUAGGAUGACCUUUCGAGACCUGAGAGUUCUGACCAUGGUGAUCAAUGCAAGAUGCUUGAAAUUCCUUGAAGUGCCUCAUCAGCAUCCACACUCGGUGCCAUCGCCCUCAAGUGGUCAGAGCAAAUUAUUCUUCAAGACGUUACCAUGGUAUGGUAUUCAGUUAAAAAGAGUUUUGUUGUACCUUGAAGAGCCUCAGCAGGAUUUUCACAUGGAUCUGGUGUGGCAGGGAAGAAGGGGCACUUCUAGCCUAUAAAUAUGUUUGAAGAUAAGGGGUGUAUAGAUUAGAGGACUCCUUCUAGUAGAUUGUUUCAGCGGUUUCCAACAUCCAGUCUGGAAUGACUUUUGGAAUUUCUAUUUGUUGCUGUCUGUGAAAUUUGACAUUCUUUCUCGAUGAUUGUUAACAGUUGUCAUUGACCUUUUGCCUAAAGCAUGGAUUCCUUCAUCUAGUCUGGAACGAGCUGUGGAAAGUUUUAUGUGGUGCUGCUUCUGAAAUUCCAAAAAUUUUCUUUUGGCUGAAGAAAUCCAUUCUGGAAGGAGUUUUGGGAAUUUUAUUGGGUGCCGUCUCAGAAAUUUGACAUUGCACUUCACUUCUAGGGAACAUGCAUUGUAUUGUGGUGAUUGGUGGCGCAUUGUGGGAUAUUAAGUGCACUUCCUCUGGACGAGCCUAUCUUGAGGGUUCGACCUGUUAGAUCUAGAUUCGCAUAUAUCUUGUCAUUCUGAAUGCAAUAGCUUUUUCUCUCAAAAUUGUGUGGAAAGAAGUGAUGGAUGCAUACGCAAAACAAAAAAAUUUGGUUCCUUUAUGAUGGUGAAUAAAAACAAACCCCCCCCAAAAAAAAAAAAAAAAAAGAAA